AUUGAACGCUGGCGGCAUGCCUUACACAUGCAAGUCGAACGGCAGCACGGGAGCAAUCCUGGUGGCGAGUGGCGAACGGGUGAGUAAUAUAUCGGAACGUGCCCGGUCGUGGGGAUAACGUAGCGAAAGCUACGCUAAUACCGCAUACGAUCUACGGAUGAAAGCGGGGGGAUCGCAAGACCUCGCGCGAUUGGAGCGGCCGAUAUCAGAUUAGGUAGUUGGUGAGGUAAAGGCUCACCAAGCCGACGAUCUGUAGCUGGUCUGAGAGGACGACCAGCCACACUGGGACUGAGACACGGCCCAGACUCCUACGGGAGGCAGCAGUGGGGGAAUAUUGGACAAUGGGCGCGAAGCCGUGAUCCAGCAAUGCCGCGUGCAGGAUGAAGGCC
rnacentral:rRNA from 1 species